rnacentral:rRNA from 1 species
AGAGUUUGAUCAUGGCUCAGAAUCAACGCUGGCGGCGUGCCUAACACAUGCAAGUCGCACGAGAAAGUGGAGCAAUCCAUGAGUAAAGUGGCGCACGGGUGAGUAACACGUGAAUUAUCUACCUCCGAGUGGGGAAUAACUGAGAGAAAUCUUAGCUAAUACCGCAUAACACUUACGAGUCAAAGCAGCAAUGCGCUUGGAGAGGAGUUCGCGGCCGAUUAGUUAGUUGGCGGGGUAAUGGCCCACCAAGACGAUGAUCGGUAUCCGGCCUGAGAGGGCGCACGGACACACUGGAACUGAAACACGGUCCAGACUCCUACGGGAGGCAGCAGUGGGGAAUUUUGCGCAAUGGGGGAAACCCUGACGCAGCAACGCCGCGUGGAGGAUGAAAUAUCUUGGUAUGUAAACUCCUUUCGAUGGGGAAGAUUAUGACGGUACCCAUAGAAGAAGCCCCGGCUAACUUCGUGCCAGCAGCCGCGGUAAUACGAGGGGGGCAAGCGUUGUUCGGAUUUAUUGGGCGUAAAGGGUGCGUAGGCGGUUUGGCAAGUCUUGUGUGAAAUCUUCGGGCUCAACCCGAAGCCUGCACAAGAAACUGCCGGGCUUGAGUAUGGGAGAGGUGAGUGGAAUUUCCGGUGUAGCGGUGAAAUGCGUAGAUAUCGGAAGGAACACCUGUGGCGAAAGCGGCUCACUGGACCAUAACUGACGCUGAUGCACGAAAGCUAGGGGAGCAAACAGGAUUAGAUACCCUAGUAGUCC